UACGGAGGGUGCAAGCGUUAUCCGGAUUCACUGGGUUUAAAGGGUGCGUAGGUGGGCAGGUAAGUCAGUGGUGAAAUCACCGGGCUUAACCCGGAAACUGCCGUUGAUACUAUCUGUCUUGAAUAUAGUGGAGGUGAGCGGAAUAUGUCAUGUAGCGGUGAAAUGCUUAGAUAUGACAUAGAACACCCAUUGCGAAGGCAGCUCGCUACACUAUCAUUGACACUGAGGCACGAAAGCGUGGGGAUCGAACAGG
rnacentral:rRNA from 1 species